GCCCCGAUAGCUCAGUGGUAGAGCACUUCCAUGGUAAGGAAGGGGUCCCCAGUUCAAACCUGGGUCGGGGCU
rnacentral:tRNA from 2 species